UCAGAUUAAAACUGGAAUGUGUUUGUUAAUUCUUGUUCUGUUACUCUGUAUCUAUUUUUUUUCCUAAAAAAUGUAACAUACAUUCACACAUCAAAAGAGAAACCAUAUUCACAAAGGUGCUUGACAUUCAUCGUUAAAAUGCAUUUUAUCAUUGCAUCCUUAAUACAAACUCUCAAGGAACUCUGCGAAGACUCACUGUAGAAUGAAUAGAAUUUAAGAAUUCUAGUACCUGAUACCCCAUAGAAAUUACAUGCACAAGAAAUACACAGGAGUUUGUAGAAAAUAUGUCAGAGAACAGGCAAAGAUUAGUGAAUUAGUGAGGAGAGAAAAAAGCCAAACCUCAUAUUCAUUACUGGUGAAAUCAAAUUAAGUUUCUCAUUUUCAAAAUUUGAAUAAAUGCAAAUACUAAUUGGGCAGAGCAAUGGGUAAUAAUUCAUAUAUUGACUGAUUUCUUUAAAUUAGAGGAAUUCAGCUGCAGUGGGGUUUUGCCCAGCCUUCAAUGUUAUUGGAAAUGGAAGAAUGUCCUAAGAUUAGCCACUGAUGGUGAAAGUGCUCUGAACUUGAAUUCAGCAGAUUAACAAUCAUAUGAGAUAGGUUGAGGCUACCCAGAACUAAUGUACUCCAUCUAUAUUUAAGUCUCUCAGAUUUAAAACUCUUGAGUGAAUAUCAAUCAAAUGUCUGCUUCAUUAUAGUUAUUUUGAUAUUUUGGAAAUUCAAUAUCAGUAUGUUUUUAAUUAUGUAUUGCAAUUCUUAAGAAUGACAACAAGCUAAUGUAGGUUAAUUUAAUGUGAAAAACCUUUCAGUCUGCAUGCGAUUAAGGAUGAGGUGUUUCUUAGAAAAAAACCUGCAAUGCCAGUUACUAGCACUUAAAUACACAUCUCUCAGUGAGACAGUAAGUAAAGACAAGGCAACUGGUUCAUUUUAUUUAAUGAAGAAACGUUUCUAAUACAAGAAGGCAUAGAAGCCAGCUCAGGCCAUAUGAUAGUGAAAAUUAUGAAAUGCUAAGUCCAACAGAGGCAGAUUGUCAAAGUCAGAUAUGCUCAGCCGCAUGCAAUGCAAUCUUGCGUGCAUAAUUUGUGCAUACAAAUAGCACAUAAAUUUUGCCUUGGCUGGCAUACAUCACUAGGUAAACACAACAUCCGUCUGCAGUAUAUGGAUGAACCAUAAUGAUAACGUCUUCAGUUAGUCUGUGAAUUCUGACUCAGGCUGUAGGUUGCCCCUGGGAGCCACCUGACAGAAGGUAGAUUGAUCAGGAACUGUGAGGUUUGGCAUAUUGCUUGCCCUGUGGGCUACUCACAUUUUAAGUCCUAACACAGCAGGGAGAGCCCCCCUAAAAAGCCAUCUAGCCUUCUCUUAUGCAAGUGGGUACAGCAGGCAACAGGGAAAUUAGGGUCCUCCUUUUUUCAAGGGAAGUUAAAUAGGGGAAGAUAUACCCUAGUCUAGGUGCAGGACUAGCACAGUCUGCUUACUGCCUGGAUCACUGGAGAGGGCUCCAUAUUAACUCAGAGUCCUUUGGGAUUUAAUUUAAAUGCUCUAGAUUUCAGAAAGGUCUUCACAUCAAUCCUUUGGAUGGGCAUGUGUUAGCACAACUUAGUAUUGUCUCUAUCUCUGUUCAGUUAGACAUACACUGCGCCGUGCUUGGAGAAAUCUAAGAAAAUGAUUUUGGCAAAACAGAACUGGGAGGAGUAAAUGUCUAAAAUUAAUUUCUUUUCUUUCCUUCAUAUAGAGUUGUAUGUGUUUUGCCCAUUUUUGUGCAGUUCUGACAGCAUAGUAAGAGUUUCAGGGAGAAUGAACAAGGAUGGAGCUUGUCAAACUGAAACCAUUUUGAGUUUACCAUCACUAGCGUAAUGAAUGUUCAAACACAGAGUUGCAUUAAAAUAGUACUUUGCACUGAUUUUUUCUUUUCCUGAUUAAACUCAUAUAUCAAAUGUAGCUGCAAAUAUAUUCAACUUUCCAUGUAAAAGAUGUACAAUUCAGGUAGGGUCAAGUUAAAACAUUGCCCUGAUUUAAGAAUGAUUGCAAUGUCAUGGCAAUUCCAUAUUUGAUUAGAGUCAACAAAAAGUUACAUUCUUUUAAAAAUCUUUUAUUAAUGUUGUUUUCUCACUUAUCAGCUUAUAUAUCUUAAGCUACACUUUCUUGGAAUAUGUUUAGUAUGUGACUAGCAUGUUACUCACUGGUGGCUUGUCCUGUUUGUGUUGAAAAUGAUACAAGAAUUAUGAAGGGAUUCAGAGCUGGGCUAUAUUUGCCUUCAAAUUUGGUAUGUAACUUCUUUUUUUUUUCUAAACAUAAAUGUUUAAAUAUGUUCUGUACUUAAUAAUGAUAACAUUUUUGAUACUUUUGUGAAGCAUAGGGUAAGACUUUUAUAUAUCCAAGAGUCAACAUUUAUCAUUUGCAUAAUGGAAGAUUGUUUUAAUGGGAGAGUUGCUUAAUGUCAGACAAUGACUUGCUGCAGACAUGUGGAAUUUUCCAUUUCUCUACAGUAUGAACUAUGAUUAUUUACAUGCAUUCAUAUUAUUAUUUGUUUUUGAAAUAUUUAACAUAUUCAUAUUUUCUGAGGUUUUUUGUUUUCAUAUGCCUGCAAUAACAAGUAUUUGUGAAAAGCAUGCCAGCUUCUGUUUUAAAGCCAGCUGCAAUAUAAAAUAAAAAUUUAAAAAAAUUAUGUGGCUGCAAUUGUAACCACCUGCAUAUGAACUGAAGUAAUGUCUCAGUGGUUAGCAAGGCCAGUGUAAGCCUGAUUCAUCCAGUACUAAAAUAAAUGGGAAGACCAAAAUGACUUAAAUGAGAAAUGAGUGGGAUUCUAAAGUUAUGAACACCACCAGUUGCCUGAUCCGUCAGAGUUUAAUUUGUCUUGCUACCUUUUAAGCCUAAUAACUCAAUCUCAGCGGUUAGAUUAUCAGAUUACUUCAGGGGAUGGAGAAUUCUAUGCCCAAUUUGUUAGCACAGUUAGAAUCUUUAUGAGAAAUAUAUGUCGCUCAACUGGGAUUAUUGUUUGAAAUUCUGACAUAUAAUGUAAUGUGAAUAUAAAUGCCCAUAUGAUGCAAUUAUUUAUGACAGAAAAUGACAGGGAUCCAGGGGCCAACAUAGCACCAGAAGAUAUUCAGGUGGAAAAAAAUUACCUUUAAGUAAAGGCUAGUGAAGAAUAAGAUAUUGUUCAGGUUGCUAUAGGUAAUUACAGAAAAGAUACCAAGGAUACAAAAAUUGAGCUUUCCAUUUUAACCAUCAAUUCACAUAAAGUUAAUAAAGAACAAUUUUCAGUGACAAGCAUCCUGAAGUAUCUCUUUUCAAUUCUCUAAACAAGUCUCUGCAAAUAGCAAAGGGUGAAUUGACUUUCAGAUGCUUCUCUCAGAAAAGAACAUGAAAAUAUCUUAGCAAUUCUUUAAAAAAAAUGAAAUUAUUUAAAAGGAAUAUUAGAUGCUUAAGUGCUUAAAAUUAUGGGUAUUGAUAGUCUACAUAGUACACUAGCAUGUCUGUUUCUGACAGCAAUCAAAUUCACUGUAUCCAUGAUUACAUGACCUUCAUUAAAUUUUUUAACUGAAUAAAACUAGUUUCUUAAGCAAGAUGAUAGAAAUGUGCCUUAUUCAUGUCAAAACAAAUUGCCAGUCAGGUUUGUUUACAGAAAUACAUAUAGAGAUAGAGAUAGAGGUGUACAGAAGUACAGACUUGCCUGUAUAUAUUUGAAAUAUAUAAAUAUACAUUUCUGUAAAUAAGCAUGCAAAUACUAAAUACUUCAUGUUCUAUCCUGCACAAAGGCCAUGUACGAAACAAUUCUAGUUCUCAAGACUCAGUGGAAAUAGUUAUGCUUAUUUUAAUUAAAAUUUAAUCAGGCCCUAAAAUAGGCUCUCAAGAAUUAAGGCCAUAUUAGGUUUGGCUUAAAUGCUAGUAGCUGAAAUAUCUCUCAGGGGGGUUUCUUCAAGCACUCAUUACUAAGCUAAGCAUGGGAAUUGUUUAUAUAAGUCUCAUUUCUGUAUUUUAUAGUGGUUCAGUGUUUCUUUGUUUCAAGAACAGUUUUCAUUUUCCUUCUUUUUCCUUGAUUUCAGAUGAACUUAAUUGUAGUUUGGCUUUCUAGUUAUUUAGUCAACCAACAGCUUCUAAUCAACCUUGAUAAGAAAAUAUUUCACCACUAACCCCCAGUAUAUUCCCAGUCCACAGAAGAGCAGAAAGAAGGCAAAGAUUAAUUUCUUAGACUUCCAAAUACAACAAGUGUUUGAAGAUGUUAUAGACCUGUACCGCUGGGUGAUGUCUGCCCGACAGGUUCCCCUCAAAGAGGAUAUGGGAUAUUCUGAAGGAAUCUUUUGAUAUUUUCAAUUACUGUUCUGCCCUGCAAAGUCCCUUCUUGACAACUGAUAAACUCUGCAUUGAAUAUUCUGUAGUAACCAACCUCAUCUGUGCUUCCAUAUCCGAGUGAAUUAUUAGAAGGUGUCCAGUAUAUUUGGCCAUAUGGAUUUUCUGUUUUGUACGCCUACACCCUCUCUUGUCAUGGAUACUGCUGCUGGUGGAUUGAACAAGACAUAAAAGGUACUAAAAAAAUGAACAAUUUUUAAAGAAGAAAAAAAAAACCUCUCUCUCACCUCUUCCCCAUUUUGAGUAUUGACCUACCUAGCUUUAAUUGCAAGAUACACUUGCAAAAUGCUUUACCUUUCCUCUCUCAUGGGAUUAUUGCCACUGGCUUUCUGUGAAGAUUUUGAACAUUCAGCUGUCAGAGUAUGUACAGAUAGAAUUCAAGGGCUGUCAGUGGCUUCUUUGCAGAAUGUCUCAUUUCCACCUGUGUUAUUGCUGAAGUAUUGAUACAUGAUGCUGCAUAUGGGAGGACAGUCCCAGCGUCCUUAUUCAAUAUUGACUGCAUGAGCUUUCUCUGGGUAUAUGGAGUUUGAGGAGGUGCACUGCUUGGAGUCCCGAACCAUAUGACUGUAUAUGUAAGCACACACCAAAAGAAGAAAGUUAUCGAUAACUGUUGUCAGAUUAAUUUCUUUAGUGUGUGUAUGCAGGUGCCUAUGGUCCACCCUGCCCUCCUACCUCACCUUCUCAGUCCUCUGAAAACUUUAAAAAAAAAAAAAAAAAAAAAAAAAAAAAAGGAAAAAAAACCCA